UGAGGGUGAGUCCAGGAUGGAGCCGGGAUCUACCUGCAGCCUUUGCAGCAGCCCGGGCCGGAGCAAAGGAUGCCUGUGAGAGGUCAAAAUCUCUCUGUCACUUCUCUCCUCACCAGGGAAGAGAUCACGUAAGGAAAGGUUCGAGGGUCUGGAUCAGGGUAGGGACAGUUUAAUCACAAUUACGGGCACAACACUUGACUUUGGGAAAUUAAUUUAAUUUACCAUCAGACAAAUCAGAGCACGAUAAUCGCUGCUGUUAUAAAUGAGAAACAAAAAGUCCUGAUAUUCAGCAAAAUUUUGAUUGAUUUAUAUUGUAGAGACGGACCUAUCAGCGGUGGAGAACGUGAGGGUUCACCGCCCACUCCACGCUCCAUUGAACCUUGGUUUGCAGCCUCCUCUUUAGUAUGGUCUCUCGUUGUAAUCAAUAAUUUUUGGGGUUUUUGCUGUCAUAAUUUUGCCAGGUAAGCAGUGGUGGUUGAAUAAACAUCUGUAAAGUCUCUGGGUGA